rnacentral:rRNA from 1 species
ACCCGCACAAGCGGUGGAUGAUGUGGUUUAAUUCGAUGCAACGCGAAAACCUUACCACCUUUGACAUGUACGGAACCCUUUAGAGAUAGAGGGUGCUCGAAAGAGAGCCGUAACACAGGUGCUGCAUGGCUGUCGUCAGCUCGUGUCGUGAGAUGUUGGGUUAAGUCCCGCAACGAGCGCAACCCUUGUCAUUAGUUGCUACAUUCAGUUGGGCACUCUAAUGAGACUGCCGGUGACAAGCCGGAGGAAGUGGGGAUGACGUCAAGUCCUCAUGGCCCUUAUAGGUGGGGCUACACACGUCAUACAAUGGCUGGUACAAAGGGUUGCCAACCCGGCGAGGGGGAGCCCAAUACCCAUAAAGCCAGUCGUAGUCCGGAUCGUAGUCUGCAACUCGACUACGUGAAGUCGGAAUCGCUAGUAAUCGUGGAUCAGAAUGUCACGGUGAAUACGUUCCCGGGUCUU